UUGACCUCUUCCUCUCCAGAAGUUAUCAACUCAGUCUUUGGAGGAUCUUUUCCACGGGCACAUAGCUCCUCAUUCAGUAAUGGAAAUCAGUGGGGAAAUAGGCUUCAAGUUCUAAAACUUCAUUUUCCACUCAGCUUUGCUGUAACACUCCACGAAUAACAUAGGUCCAUGUGAGUGCACGGGCAAGACCAGCCUGGGAAGGCUUUAUGGGGGAAAAUAGCUAUCAGCAAAUUUUCAAAGGUUUUUUUCCCCUUUCUUGAUUUAUCUUAUUAUGAGACUCAUAUAAGUUCAUCAUAUAAAAUUCAACAUAUAGAAAUAUUAUGCAGAAAGUGGAAGUCCCCCAUAAUCCCACCCCCCAGAGAUAACUACCAUAACAAUUUUAUGUAUACUAUAGUUUUUCUAAAUUUUAUUUUUGCUAUGCAUUUACUAACUACCCAUUUACUACAAAAAUGGGAUCAUAUGGUUCAUAGUGUUUUUGCAGUGCAUUUUUCACGUAUCAAUAUAUUGUGGCCAUCUUUCCAUGUCAGCACACAUAGAUCUACCUCAUUCUUGUUAAUGGCUGUAUAGUAUUCCAUUGUAUGGAGGUGCCCUAAUUUAUUUAACCAGUUCCGCAUUGGUGGACAUUUGGGUUGUUACUAGAAGCUUAUCGUUCUAUAUCCUGUUCCUUUUCUUCCUUUCCUCCAGCACUGACUCAUAUAUUGAAGUCCUUGAUGGCUCCCGUGUCCACCCUGAGACUUAUGAGUGGGCUAGGAAGAUGGCAGUGGAUGCCCUGGAAUACGAUGAAUCAGCCGAGGAUGCCAAUCCUGCAGGAGCCCUUGAAGAAAUCUUGGAAAACCCAGAACGACUCAAAGACCUGGACCUUGAUGCCUUUGCAGAAGAGCUGGAGAGGCAGGGCUAUGGUGACAAACACAUCACACUCUAUGACAUCCGGGCAGAGCUGAGCUGUCGAUAUAAGGACCUCCGGACAGCCUACCGCUCUCCCAACACAGAGGAGAUCUUCAAUAUGUUAACCAAAGAAACACCAGAGACCUUCUACAUUGGAAAGCUCAUCAUCUGCAAUGUCACUGGCAUCGCCCACAGGCGUCCCCAGGGUGAGAGCUAUGACCAGGCGAUCCGCAAUGAUGAGACAGGGCUGUGGCAGUGCCCCUUCUGUCAGCAGGACAAUUUCCCUGAACUAAGCGAGGUGUGUGCUGCAGCGUUAUCUUGCUCAGUGGAUUUCCUUGGUUGAGUGAUCUCGGUGCCUAGAAGGGAAUCAGAAAUGAGGGUGUUCUAGAUCAUUCUCUUACCAAACAAGUACAUAAAGAAGGAAGAUGGAUAGGAAACACACAGGUUUAGCAUGAAGUCCCUUCUGAGAAGGCUGACAUAGCUGGGCACGGUGGCUCACGCCUAUAAUCCUAGCACUUUGGGGUGCCAAGGUGGGCAGUUCAUCUGAGGUCAGGGGUUCGAGACCAGCCUGGCCAAGAUGGUGAAACCCCAUCUCUACUAAAAAUACAAAAACUAGCCAGUUGUGGUGGCACAUGCCUGUAAUCCUAGCUACUCGGGAGGCUGAGGCAGGAGAAUCACUUGAACCGAAGAGGCGGAGGUUGCAGUGAGCCGAGAUCAUACCAUUGCACUGCAGCCUGGGUGACAGAAUGAGACUUCAUCUCAGAAAAGAAAAAAAAAAAAGGCUGACGUAGAAACUUCUUAUGGUCAGCCGGGCACGGUAGCUCACGCCUGUAAUCCCAGCACUUUGGGAGGCCAAGGCGGGGGCGGAUCAUGAGGUCAGGAGAUCGAGACCAUCCUGGCUAACAUGGUGAAACCCGGUCUCUACUAAAAAUACAAAAAAUUAGCCAGGCACGGUGGCGGGCGCCUGUAGUCCCAGCUGCUCGGGAGGCUGAGGCAGGAGAAUGGCAUGAACCCAGGAGAUGGAGCUUGCAGUAAGCCAAGAUAGUGCCACUGCACUCCAGCCUGGGCGAAAGAGCAAGACUCCGUCUC
rnacentral:sRNA from 1 species